rnacentral:rRNA from 1 species
AUGGGUGCUGUCAAGAACCUUGUGAAGCUCUUGAUCCUCGUCGAGGUGGCCGUGGCCCUGGCGGGGCCCGGCGUCGCCGCGCUCAGCAUGGACUACUACGGCAUGAACUGCCCGUUCGCCGAGUACAUCGUCCGGAGCGUCGUGAGUGAGGCCGUCAUGGGCGACCCCACCCUCGCCGCCGGCCUCCUUCGGCUCCACUUCCAUGACUGCUUCGUCCAGGGAUGCGACGCGUCCGUGCUUCUGGACGCGGCGCCGGGCAGCAAGGCGGAGAAGGACGCGCUGGCGAACAAGAGCCUGCGCGGGUUCGAGGUGAUCGACAAGAUCAAGGACACCCUCGAGGCUCAGUGCCCCGGCGUCGUCACCUGCGCCGACAUCCUCGCGCUGGCCGCCAGGGACGCCGUGCUCAUGGUCGGCGGCCCCUACUACGACGUGCCCCAGGGCCGGCGCGACGGGAGACGCUCCGUCGACACCGACACGCUGACCGCGCUCCCGUCGCCGUUCCUCAACGCCUCGGCGCUCAUCACCCUCUUCGGCACCCACGGCUUCAACGUGCAGGACAUGGUGGCGCUCUCCGGCGGGCACACCCUGGGCGUGGCGCACUGCCCGUCGUUCACGCCCCGCCUCAAGUUCGAGGCGUCCACGCUGGACGCCGGGUUCGCGUCGUCGCUGGCGGCCACGUGCAGCAAGGGCGGGGACUCGGCGUCGGCGACGUUCGACCGGACGAGCACGGCCUUCGACGGCGUCUACUUCAAGGAGCUGCAGCAGCGGAGGGGCCUGCUGAGCUCGGACCAGACGCUGUACGAGUCGCCGGAGACGCAGCGGCUGGUGAACAUGUUCGCCAUGAACCAGGGCUACUUCUUCUACGCGUUCGCGCAGGGGAUGGGGAAGAUGGGGCAGAUCGACCUCAAGGAGGGUGACCGCGGCGAGGUCAGGAAAUCAUGCAGGGUCGUCAACAAGCCCAGCUGGUAA